AGGUUCUUUGAGGAUAUUGAGUUUGGGGGGUGGGGAGAUAAAGUAGUUAGAGAUUUUGUCUUCAAGGAAGAACAUGUGUCUUUCCCUCAAAUUGUUGAUCUUGGUCUUACUGACUCGGAUCACACAACUCCGGUUCAAGACAAUCUCGAAAAUCUCCCCCAUCACCACUUCUAGAACUAUUUUUGAGGCGGGUAAUGCUAGGUUCUUUGAGGAUAUUGAGUUUGGGGGGUGGGGAGAUAAAGUAGUUAGAGAUUUUGUCUUCAAGGAAGAACAUGUGUCUUUCCCUCAAGUUGUUGAUCUUGGUCACAUUCCUGACACAGAUCACACAACUCUGGUUCAAGACAAUCUCGAAAAUCUUCCCCAU
rnacentral:lncRNA from 1 species